GGCUCAGUGGUAGAGUGCAUGCCUCACACGCAUGAGGUGCUGGGUUCAAGCCCCCG
rnacentral:tRNA from 1 species